UACGUAGGGGGCAAGCGUUAUCCGGAUUUACUGGGUGUAAAGGGAGCGUAGACGGUUUUUCAAGUCUGAAGUGAAAGCCCGCGGCUCAACUGCGGAACGGCUUUGGAAACUGAGGGACUAGAGUGCUGGAGGGGCAGGCGGAAUUCCUGGUGUAGCGGUGAAAUGCGUAGAUAUCACGCAGAACUCCGAUUGCGAAGGCAGCUUACUAAGCCAUAACUGACACUGAAGCACGAAAGCGUGGGGAUCAAACAGG
rnacentral:rRNA from 1 species